rnacentral:rRNA from 1 species
AUUGAACGCUGGCGGCAGGCCUAACACAUGCAAGUCGAGCGAGCGGCGGACGGGUGAGUAAUGUCUGGGAAACUGCCUGCUGGAGGGGGAUAACUACUGGAAACGGAAGAUCAUAUCGCAUACCAUCAGAUGUGCCCAGCUGGGAUGAGCUAGUAGGUGGGGUAACGGCCCAACUCGGCGACGAUCCCUAGCUAGUCUGAGAGGAUGACCAGCCACACUGGAACGGGUACACGGUCCAGACUCCUACGUGAGGCAGCAGUGGGGAAUAUUGCACAAGGGGCGCAAGCCUGAUGCAGCCAGGCCGAGUGUGUGAAGAAGGCCUUCGGGUGGUAAAGAACUUUCAGCGGGGAGGCGUUACCCGCAGAAGAAGCACCGGCUAACUCCGUGCCAGCAGCCGCGGUAAUAC